rnacentral:rRNA from 1 species
AACGAACGCUAGCGGCGUGCUUCAUACAUGCAAGUCGAACGAUGAAGCUUUCUGUUUACAGAAAGUGGAUUAGUGGCAAACGGGUGAGUAACACGUGAGAAUCUACCUUUUUGUGGGGGACAACUACGGGAAACUGUAGCUAAUACCGCAUAUUUUCAGCAAUGAACAAAGACACUUGUGUCGCAAAGAGAUGAGCUCGCGCCAGAUUAGGUAGUUGGUAAGGUAAAAGCUUACCAAGCCGUUGAUCUGUAGCUGGUCUGAGAGGAUGGUCAGCCACACUGGGACUGAGAUACGGCCCAGACUCCUACGGGAGGCAGCAGUAGGGAAUAUUGGACAAUGGGGGAAACCCUGAUCCAGCAAUGCCGCGUGAAUGAUGAAGGCCUUAGGGUCGUAAAGUUCUUUCGCUUGAGAUGAUAAUGACAGUAUCAAGAAAAGAAGUCCCGGCUAACUCUG